UACGUAGGGUGCGAGCGUUAAUCGGAAUUACUGGGCGUAAAGCGUGCGUAGGCGGUCCCGCAAGUCCGCUGUGAAAGCCCCGAGCUUAACUUGGGAACUGCAGUGGAAACUAUGGGACUUGAAUCCGGCAGAGGGGGGUGGAAUGCCACGUGUAGCAGUGAAAUGCGUAGAGAUGUGGAGGAACACCAGUGGCGAAGGCGACUCUUUGGCCUGUAACUGACGCUGAGGCGCGAAAGCGUGGGGAGCAAACAGG
rnacentral:rRNA from 1 species